GACGAACGCUGGCGGCGUGCUUAACACAUGCAAGUCGAACGGAAAGGCCCUGCUUUUGUGGGGUGCUCGAGUGGCGAACGGGUGAGUAACACGUGAGUAACCUGCCCUUGACUUUGGGAUAACUUCAGGAAACUGGGGCUAAUACCGGAUAGGAGCUCCUGCUGCAUGGUGGGGGUUGGAAAGUUUCGGCGGUUGGGGAUGGACUCGCGGCUUAUCAGCUUGUUGGUGGGGUAGUGGCUUACCAAGGCUUUGACGGGUAGCCGGCCUGAGAGGGUGACCGGCCACAUUGGGACUGAGAUACGGCCCAGACUCCUACGGGAGGCAGCAGUGGGGAAUAUUGCACAAUGGGCGGAAGCCUGAUGCAGCAACGCCGCGUGCGGGAUGACGGCCUUCGGGUUGUAAACCGCUUUCGCCUGUGACGAAGCGUGAGUGACGGUAAUGGGUAAAGAAGCACCGGCUAACUACGUGCCAGCAGCCGCGGUGAUACGUAGGGUGCGAGCGUUGUCCGGAUUUAUUGGGCGUAAAGGGCUCGUAGGUGGUUGAUCGCGUCGGAAGUGUAAUCUUGGGGCUUAACCCUGAGCGUGCUUUCGAUACGGGUUGACUUGAGGAAGGUAGGGGAGAAUGGAAUUCCUGGUGGAGCGGUGGAAUGCGCAGAUAUCAGGAGGAACACCAGUGGCGAAGGCGGUUCUCUGGGCCUUUCCUGACGCUGAGGAGCGAAAGCGUGGGGAGCGAACAGGCUUAGAUACCCUGGUAGUCCACGCUGUAAACGGUGGGUACUAGGUGUGGGGUCCAUUCCACGGGUUCCGUGCCGUAGCUAACGCUUUAAGUACCCCGCCUGGGGAGUACGGCCGCAAGGCUAAAACUCAAGGGAAUUGACGGGGCCCCGCACAAGCGGCGGAGCAUGCGGAUUAAUUCGAUGCAACGCGUAGAACCUUACCUGGGUUUGACAUGGAUCGGGAGCGCUCAGAGAUGGGUGUGCCUCUUUUGGGGUCGGUUCACAGGUGGUGCAUGGCUGUCGUCAGCUCGUGUCGUGAGAUGUUGGGUUAAGUCCCGCAACGAGCGCAACCCUUGUUCACUGUUGCCAGCACGUUAUGGUGGGGACUCAGUGGAGACCGCCGGGGUCAACUCGGAGGAAGGUGGGGAUGACGUCAAGUCAUCAUGCCCCUUAUGUCCAGGGCUUCACGCAUGCUACAAUGGCUGGUACAGAGAGUGGCGAGCCUGUGAGGGUGAGCGAAUCUCGGAAAGCCGGUCUCAGUUCGGAUUGGGGUCUGCAACUCGACCUCAUGAAGUCGGAGUCGCUAGUAAUCGCAGAUCAGCAACGCUGCGGUGAAUACGUUCCCGGG
rnacentral:rRNA from 1 species